UUUGACACACUGUACCCCUC
rnacentral:misc_RNA from 1 species